UGGGGAAUUUUGGACAAUGGGCGAAAGCCUGAUCCAGCAAUGCCGCGUGUGUGAAGAAGGCCUUCGGGUUGUAAAGCACUUUUGUCCGGAAAGAAAUCCUUGGUUCUAAUAUAGCCGGGGGAUGACGGUACCGGAAGAAUAAGCACCGGCUAACUACGUGCCAGCAGCCGCGGUAAUACGUAGGGUGCGAGCGUUAAUCGGAAUUACUGGGCGUAAAGCGUGCGCAGGCGGUUUGCUAAGACCGAUGUGAAAUCCCCGGGCUCAACCUGGGAACUGCAUUGGUGACUGGCAGGCUAGAGUAUGGCAGAGGGGGGUAGAAUUCCACGUGUAGCAGUGAAAUGCGUAGAGAUGUGGAGGAAUACCGAUGGCGAAGGCAGCCCCCUGGGCCAAUACUGACGCUCAUGCACGAAAGCGUGGGGAGCAAACAGGAUUAGAUACCCUGGUAGUCCACGCCCUAAACGAUGUCAACUAGUUGUUGGGGAUUCAUUUCCUUAGUAACGUAGCUAACGCGUGAAGUUGACCGCCUGGGGAGUACGGUCGCAAGAUU
rnacentral:rRNA from 1 species